UGCGCCCCUCUCUGUCCCUGAGACCCUAACUUGUGACGUUUAGUUUUUAAGUCCACGGGUUAGGCUCUUGGGAGCUGUGAGUUGUGCCAC
ensembl:miRNA aca-mir-125b-1 aca-mir-125b-1